GUUCUGAUGAAUAAAUUGAUGAACUUGAAAUAUGAUGGUACAAGUAGUGUUAAGGAGCAUGUCACGAAAAUGAUAAAUAUAUCAUCUAAAUUAAAGGCUCUUAACAUUUUCAUUGCGGAGCCUUUCCUGGUCUAUAAUGUUUUUAAAUAGCCUUCAUAGCUAGGUUAAUCAGCUUAAGGUUGCUUACAAUACUCAGCAGGAUAAAUGAGAUUUGAAUGACUUUAUAGCAAUUUGUGCUCAAGAAAAGUAUAGGAUGCACCAUAAGACCGUUGAAACUGUACAAUUAACUUUUCAGCUAUCACAAAACAAAGGGACAUUCUCAUAACCAUAAGUUUAAGUUUCUAAGGGUAAUAAAUCACACUGAAAUCAGCGGAAUAAAAAUUUUAGUGGUCCUAGAGAUAUUAUGAAGAAAAUUGAUCAAUACAAGUUCUGUAAAAAGAAAGGUCAUUGGCAGAAAAACUGUUUUAAGUUUAAGACUUGGCUGAAAAAGAAGAAGAGUUCUCUAGGAAUUCCCUUGGCCUUAGUUUAUUUUGAGUCUUCUUUAGUAGAUGUGCCUUUGAAUUCUUGGUGAUUAAACUCGGGAGCUAGUAUUCAUAUUGCGAAUUCCUUGUAGAGAUUCACAAGCAAAUAGAGUGAGAAUGAAGUGAGCUUGAGCGUUGCAAAUGGAGUUCAAGUGAAUGUUGAAUUCAUAUGAGUAGUGAAGUUGUCUUUGGAGUCCGAUUUUUCUCUUGUUUUAGAAAAUACUAUUUAUGUACAGCAAAUGAGACGAAAUUUAGUUUCUAUAUCGAAACUUGAUGCUUGUAGUUUUAUAUUUAAUUUUGGUAAUGGAAU
rnacentral:lncRNA from 1 species